GUCCACGCCCUAAACGAUGACAACUAGUUGUUGGGGAUUUAACAUCCUUAGUAACGCAGCUAACGCGUGAAGUUGUCCGCCUGGGGAGUACGGUCGCAAGAUUAAAACUCAAAGGAAUUGACGGGGGCCCGCACAAGCGGUGGAUGAUGUGGUUUAAUUCGAUGCAACGCGUAAAACCUUACCUACCCUUGACAUGCUAGGAAGUCCGAUGAAAGUUGGAUGUGCCCGAAAGGGAACCUAGACACAGGUGCUGCAUGGCUGUCGU
rnacentral:rRNA from 1 species